CAUGUGUCCCUUGGUCAUGCUAUUUGAGGUUUCAUAGUAAACCUCAAAUUUACUGUGUAAAUUUACAUAGUAAACCUCAUAGGUUUACUAUGAAACCUCAAAUAGCAUGACCAGGGGACACAUGA
rnacentral:miRNA from 1 species